rnacentral:misc_RNA from 1 species
GUGGUGUAAUAGUGGGGACAAUGUCAAGCUUCCAUAUUGCCAGAUUCUUGGAAAGUAUCGGAUGGAUUUACAUGGAUAUAAUAGCAUUGAUCCCUAUGAACAUAUGAAUGAAAGGUGCCCUUCUCUUCCAACCGAGUACUUCCGUCCAAAGAAUUGCUAGAAACGUCUUAAAAGUUUCUUUCCUGAGGGCAGGAUGUGUAG